CACGGGAAAGCGGCACGCAGCUGGAGCGUGUGGGCACCGUACGGUACCGUACCGGAGAUGCGCAUCACGUCCGGGUGGUUCGAAGGGCGGCGCUAGACAGACGGGAGGCAACGCUGACCGCAGCGAAACCGAGUUAAUUACCCCCUUUUGACGCCGGCGGAGGACCCGAGGCCCGCACCUCGGCCCACGAACGCACGAGGAUCGGCUCUGCGUUUCAGGCCCUUCUUCGCAUCAAACGCGGAGGAGGGAAGAAGCAAGAUCUGAGAGACGGAGCCCAAUAGAGAUCAAAUGGGCUCUGUGAGAGCGGCCAAAAUAAAGGACACGGCUGAUGAAAUGGAGUCUGGAGCCACAGAAUGGUACGACCCGGGCAAAGGAGCCAAACGGGAAGAUCCUGACCAGUUACCCUUAACCAGCAAUUAUUCAGCAGAGUAUUACUUUCUACAAGAAUUGCAUUCAUCCAAGAAUGCUCUUUUCGGGACGUUCAAACGUGCACUAUUUAUCAUCUAUUUCCAGCACUCAAAAAAAUGCAUAUUUUGCUAAAAAGAAAAUCAUCCAUUAUGAACUGUGAUAGAUGGACAAUUCCAUACUUACCGUUCGACAUGCACGCUAAAAUGUUUCAUGCCUAAUAAAAAACUACAGGACGUGC